GGUGCAAUCAAGGUGGAGAUCAACUACGAAGGGUUGAUCGAUGCUCUCUUAUGCAAGAAGGAGCCAUCUACAUAGAAGAUGCCAAUAAAAGCCUAGUGCGAGGUGGAGCUCCAGGUGGAGAUAGAUCGAGCACGAGAUAGGAGACUCGAGAGGAUGAUAAGCGAUGUCAUUAGCAGGCUAUCCCGAGUAGAUCUCAGGUUAGAGGAUAUGACAGACAUA
rnacentral:lncRNA from 1 species